CCUACGGGAGGCAGCAGUGGGGGAUAUUGCACAAUGGGGGAAACCCUGAUGCAGCGACGCCGCGUGGGUGAAGAAUUAUUUCGGUAUGUAAAGCCCUAUCAGCAGGGAAGAAAGAAGACGGUACCUGACUAAGAAGCCACGGCUAACUACGUACCAGCAGCCGCGGUACUACGGAGGGGGCGCGCGUUAUCCGGAUGAACUGGGUGUAACGGGAGCGUAGACGGGCGUGCAAGCCAGGAGUGAAAUCCCGGGGCCCAACCCCGGGCCUGCCCUUGAAACUGUGCGACUGGAGUGCGGGAGGGGUAGGCGGAAUUCCUGGUGUAGCGGUGAAAUGCGUAGAUAUCAGGAGGAACACCGGCGGCGAAGGCGGCCUGCGGGACCGCGACUGACGUUGAGGCUCGAAAGCGUGGGGAGCGAACAGGAUUAGAUACCCUUGUAGUC
rnacentral:rRNA from 1 species